rnacentral:rRNA from 1 species
AUUGAACGCUGGCGGCAGGCCUAACACAUGCAAGUCGAGCGAGCGGCGGACGGGUGAGUAAUGUAUCGGAAUCUGCCCGAUAGAGGGGGAUAACUACUGGAAACGGUGGCUAAUACCGCAUACUAUCGGAUGAACCCAUAUGGGAUUAGCUAGUUGGUGGGGUAAAGGCUCACCUAGGCGACGAUCCCUAGCUGGUCUGAGAGGAUGACCAGCCACACUGGGACUGAGACACGGCCCAGACUCCUACGGGAGGCAGCAGUGGGGAAUAUUGGACAAUGGGCGCAAGCCUGAUGCAGCCAUGCCGCGUGUAUGAUGAAGGCCUUAGGGUUGUAAAGUACUUUCGGCGGAGAGGCGGUACCCGCAGAAGAAGCACCGGCUAACUCCGUGCCAGCAGCCGCGGUAAUUC